rnacentral:pre_miRNA from 9 species
GGGGGCCAGCGUAAAAGUUAACCUAAAUGUGUAUGGAGUUAGAACGUUUGCCAAGGUUUGCCGCUAGGGGCGCUGUUCCAACUGCAUACAAAUUUGAGUUAACUUUUACGCUUUCGA